AUGGUGGGGCUCUCUGUGCUGGUGAUGCUGGUCGUAAUAUACCUGGUCCGGAGGCUGAGUUCCAUGUGGACAUGCUCAUCCGGGUCGCUCCCUCCGGGGCCGUUGCCGUGGCCGGUGGUAGGCACACUCCCCGAGCUGAUGGUUAACAAGCCGGCGUUCCGGUGGAUCCACCAGGUGAUGGAGCAGAUGGGCACCGACAUCGCCUGCUUCCGCUUGGGCGGCGUCCACGUCAUCCCCAUCACGUGCCCUCGGAUCGCCAGGGAGGUGCUCAGGAAGCAGGACGAGAUCUUCGCAUCCCGUCCAGUGACUUUCGCCUCGUGCGUGGCCAGCGGAGGGUACGUGGAAGCCGCGCUGGCGCCCUUCGGCGCGCAGUCGACCAAGAUGCGCCGGGUGCUCACCUCCCACAUCGUCUCCCCGUCCCGCCACAAGUGGCUCCACGACAAGCGCGCCGAGGAGGCCGACAACUUCUCGUGGUACAUGUACCACCUCACCGGCGAGGAGGGCAGCAACGUGGACGUCAGGCACCUCGCGCGGCACUACUGCGGCAACGUCAUACGCCGGCUCCUCUUCGGCAGGCGCUACUUCGGGGAAGCCGGCGUCGGCGGCGGCCCCGGGAAGCUGGAGAUGGAGCACAUGGACGCCUCCUUCGCCGCGCAGGGGAUCCUCUACUCCUUCUGCGUCAGCGACUACCUGCCGUCGCUGCUGGGGCUCGACCUGGACGGCCACGAGAAGAUUGUCAAUGAGGCUAACGCGACGCUGGACAGGCUGCACGACGCGGUCAUCGAUGAGAGGCGGAGGCAGUGGAAUACCGGUGAGAGGAAAGAGGUCGACGACUUUCUCGACGUGCUCAUUACGCUCAGAGAGCCGACAUUGAGCAUGGAGGAGGUGAAGGCACAGGCCAAGCUCAUCAAUCUCGCGGCCGUCGACAACCCAUCCAACGCCGCCGAGUGGGCGCUGGCGGAGAUGGUGAAGAGGCCGGAGCUGCUGGCGCGGGCGGUGAAGGAGCUAGACCGGGUGGUGGGCAGGGAGCGGCAGGUGCAGGAGUCGGACAUCGCCCAGCUCAACUACGUCAAGGCCUGCAUCCGGGAGGCAUUCCGGCUGCACCCGAUCGCCCCCUUCAACGUGCCGCACGUCGCCCUCGCAGACACCGUCGUCGCCGGCUACCGCGUGCCUAAGGGCAGCCACGUCCUCCUCAGCCGCCUUGGCCUUGGCCGGAACCCAGCCACCUGGGAAGACCCGCUCCGCUUCAACCCCGAGCGCCACAUGGGAGGAGGAGGAGGGAACCUCGAGCUCACCGAGAACGAGCUGCGCUUCAUCUCCUUCAGUACAGGCCGCCGCGGCUGCGUCGCCCCCAUGCUCGGCAUGGCCAUGAGCGUCAUGCUCUUCGGCAGGCUCCUCCAUGGCUUCACCUGGACGAAGCCCGCGGAGGUGCGGGACAUUCAGCUCACCCAGUCCAAGCACGAUCUCUCCAUGGCUAAGCCGCUGGUGCUGCACGCCAAGCCACGCCUGCCGCUGCACCUCUACCUCUACCGCCCGUGA
rnacentral:rRNA from 1 species